rnacentral:rRNA from 1 species
UGAGGAACAUGACCUUCGGCGGGGGAGUAGCCGGCCCAACGGCCGGGUAAUACCGCGUACGACUUUUCGGGGACAUCCCUGGAAGGUGAAGGCAGCAAUGCGCCGAUGGAGUGCCUCGCGGCCUAUCAGCUAGUUGGUGAGGUAACGGCUCACCAAGGCGACGACGGGUAGCUGGUCUGAGAGGAUGGCCAGCCACAUUGGGACUGAGACACGGCCCAGACUCCUACGGGAGGNAG